ACGCUCGACACCUACGGAAGGCAGCAGUUGGGAAUAUUGGACAAUGGAGGAAACUCUGAUCCAGUGACGCCGCGUGAAGGAAGAAGGUCUUCGGAUUGUAAACUUAUUUUGUCAGGGAAGAAAAAAAUGACUGUACCUGAAGAAAAAAGACACCGGCUAACUACGUGCCUGCAGCCGCGGUAAUCUGAGGCGGGCUGGCAAGGC
rnacentral:rRNA from 1 species